rnacentral:snoRNA from 1 species
GCGGUUUCCACCAGAAAGCUUCGGCUUAAUGAUGGUCUAAGGCGUCUGACU